rnacentral:rRNA from 1 species
ACGGAAGGCAGCAGUCGGGAAUAUUGCGCAAUGGAGGAAACUCUGACGCAGUGACGCCGCGUAUAGGAUGAAGGUUUUCGGAUUGUAAACUAUUGUCGUUAGGGAAGAUAAAAGACAGUACCUAAGGAGGAAGCUCCGGCUAACUACGUGCCAGCAGCCGCGGUAAUACGUAGGGAGCAAGCGUUAUCCGGAUUUAUUGGGUGUAAAGGGUGCGUAGACGGGAAGACAAGUUAGUUGUGAAAUCCCUCGGCUUAACUGAGGAACUGCAACUAAAACUAUCUUUCUUGAGUGCGGGAGAGGAAAGUGGAAUUCCUAGUGUAGCGGUGAAAUGCGUAGAUAUUAGGAAGAACACCAGUGGCGAAGGCGGCUUUCUGGACUGAAACUGACGCUGAGGCUCGAAAGCGUGGGGAGCAAACAGGAUUAGAUACCCUGGUA